UGUGAGGAGGAUGGGAAGCAGUGAACUAGAAAUGCAAAAAGAAGUGAGAAGGAGGAGAGAAAGAGCCAGAGCUGUGUGGAGCGACUCAUGGAACUGCAACAUAGCAAAGGUACAGACCUAACACCUGGGCCCUGCUGUGUCUGCCACUGGCUAUGUCUUCAAGGAGGUGUAAAGCUCAUUAGCUUGUUCUCCACCCUCUGAUGUGCUCAAUAAGUGCCCACACCAUGUAACCAUCCAGCACUGAGCCUGUCCAGUCAGCAAGACAUCCUACUCCUACAGUGUGCUCUACUUAAUCCAAAAAAUCAAUACUGACUACAUUAAGAUCAGGAAAGAAAUGUCAGACUUCACGGAACGAACUGGGACUUUGCAAGACCAGGCCUGGAGGGGAGUUUGGUGCCACACUGAGACUGAAAGGGAAGGUGGGCCCUGAAGGUAAAUUUGGCAUUGAAAAAUGCUGAGUUUGCACAUCUCGAUAUUCUCUUUAGAUACGAGUUCUUUUGCCAUCACAGCUUUUUAAAAGAAGGUGUUGGCAGGAUACAUAACCCAAGGUUUUCACUAGUUUAAAAUGCCAGCAGAGAUUUGGGAGAAGCAAAUCUCCUUUGGGAUUUUCCAGUAUUUGAGGCACAAAGCUCAUAGAAUAUUUUAUUUAUCUGGGAAAAUGGUGCACAGGGAUUUUUUUGUGGCUUUCCUUUUUCCUCUGUCGAGUAAACAUCUUUAGUAAAGUAGUCCAGGUCCAAACAGGAUCAGGGAAAGUUACAAAGUACAGCUGGGCUGCAUUUCAUAAUAAAACAGCACAAAAUCCAAUCACAAAGAGUAGGUGGAAGGUGAUAUCUGCAAGAGAAACACAGACUAUACGUGAGUACUUCCCUGUCAGCUCCCUUUCACCUUUUCUUCCCACUCCGUUCAAUAAAACUGCAUUAUCCUAAUGUGGCUCUGUCAACAUACCAAAUGUUAACAAAUAGACUUUCAAAGGUGUGUUUCAAACCCUUUCCAAUCAGAAAUGCUUUCAGACACCCCUGUUAACCCAGUAAAACAUGAUUGCUCCUUUUCAGGAAGAGGGUGUGACAAUUAGAGAAAGCAUUGUUCAGUAUUGGAAUUUAUUGCUAUGAUUUUAUUGUCCAGUGUGAGAGAUUUACCAAAAGAAGGAAAACAAAGUAUGUAACACUGGGAAAUAAAAUCUGAUUUUGAAAUGUUCACUCUUCUGUCAAAUUUUUUUCUGUCAAAUUGUCAGGUUUUUUCUUUGCGCUAUGGAUUUUAUGUUGACAAAGACACUCAAAAUCUAUAGUUAUUAUCCAUGAUACUUUCAUAGUCAUACUUUGUUUACCUGAGAGUGUAUAAAACUUUGUUUACCUGAGAGUGUAUAAAAUCUGGAUAAACCUUUGUCUGUAUAAAAGAGGAGGAAAAAGAUUACAUCAGGAUGAUGUUUAAAAUAGGGCAAAGUGCAUUAAUGUGCUUUGUAAAAGCAGAACAGAAAACAUUUGUCACAUUUUGAAAAUCUGAAUAUUUCUUCCUCUUGGAUUUACUGUCUGAAGUUAUAAAAGGAUCCUCAGUCCUUUUACCUUUUAAUAUUGAUAGGGGUUUACUGGUGCAACAUAAUGGAUUGUAAUAAUUCUACUCUGUGUGUAUUUGUAAUUUUAAAUUGGCUUCCAGAUUGGGGUGGAUGCAGUUGAUAAAUUAAUAUGAAGGGCUCUAGUAAAAACAUUGUUUGUUCCAAGGAUUUAUUUCAAAAGAUGAAGCAGCUCAGAGAGAAAUCCCUGGUACCUUCGGGAGGCAGAACAGUUGUUGUAGAGUGGGGAAGGCUGAUGGCAGUGCUAUCAGAGUGUCAGGAGGGAUAGGCACAAAGCGUCCUACAGCACAUGAAGGUGUUGUGGAUAUGCUGAAGUACAGACCAACAGUGUAAAGAAAAACUUUCCUGCUGCUCCUGACCUCUCUCCCACUCCUGUGCAACCUGUCAGAGCGUGUCUGAGCUGCUGCUGAGGUCAUAGGCAGGUGAGCAGAGCUUUCACUGCCAGCUCAGUGUGUCAGUGGCUUGGCCUUUUAUCAUAAAUGCCAAAGGAGUGCUUUGACUCAUUUGGCAAGGGAAGAGAAUUUCACUGAGCUCUUCUGCCAGAGUUGGAGGGGACCAGCUUCUGUUCUAGACUCCUGCUGCCCCAGGGGAAAGGGGUCCGGCAGAGGGCUUUGGCUCCCUCUGCUUGCUCCUAUAUUGCCAGCUUUGUUGCCUCCCAAAGGGAGAAGCACCCCAAGAAUGCAGCCACUUACUGCGCACGGUGAUCUCCGCCACCAGAACACCUCCGGUUUGCUCCGCGCGCUGCUUGCGUUUGUCACAUGUCUCAAGAGAGCAGAGAGAAAGCCAUGUACACCAAAAUAAUUAAAAAUUAUAAAAAAUAUCUGGGCAUAAUUCUUAUGUUUCCAACCAAGGAAAUUGCUGCAUAUUUUCUAGGGAGUUUUUUUUCCCUCUGUAAUUAUUGGGGGCCUUAGUGCA